rnacentral:rRNA from 1 species
AUUAAACGCUGGCGGCAUGCCUUACACAUGCAAGUCGAACGGCAGCACGGGGGCAACCCUGGUGGCGAGUGGCGGACGGGUGAGUAAAGCAUCGGAACGUAUCCUGGAGUGGGGGAUAAUGUAGCGAAAGUUACGCUAAUACCGCAUAUUCUGUGAGCAGGAAAGCAGGGGAUCGCAAGACCUUGCGCUCUGGGAGCGGCCGAUGUCGGGAUUAGCUAGUUGGUGGGGUAAAAGGCCUACCAAGGCGACGAUCCGUAGCGGGUCUGAGAGGAUGAUCCGCCACACUGGGACUGAGACACGGCCCAGACGUCCUACGGGAGGCAGCAGUGGGGAAUUUUUGGACAAUGGGCGGAAGCCUGAUCCAGCCAUGCCGCGUGAGUGAAGAAGGCCUUCGGGUU